AACGAACGCUGGCGGCAGGCUUAACACAUGCAAGUCGAACGCCCCGCCAGGGGUGUGGCGGACCGGUGCGUACCGACUGGUGACAUACCCUUUUCUACGGAGUACUUUUGGGAGACUUGAACCAAUACCGUAUACGCCCUUAGGGGGUAAGACUUAUCGGGGAAGGCUUGGCCCGCGUUCGAUUAGGUGGUUGGUGGGGUAAAGGCCUCACAAGGCGACGAUCCAUAUCUGGUCUGAGAGGAUGAUCAGCGACAUUGGGACUGGGACACGGCCCAAACUCCUGCAGGAAGGGGCAGUGGGGAACAAUGGACAAUAGGCGGAAGCAUGAUCGCCCCAUGCGGCGUGAGUGAUGAAGGGCUGAAGGUUGUAUAGGCCUUUGACCGAGGCAUAUAAUGACGGUAGUUGGAGAAGAAGCACCGGCUAACUUCGUG
rnacentral:rRNA from 1 species